rnacentral:lncRNA from 1 species
CAUGGAGUUGAGCUGGUGGAAGCUAGAGCCAAGAACAGAACAUCACUCAGCAUAUGCCAUGGCAUCACACUGAAUUUAAUCCUUUCUUCAAUGACGGUGAUGAGAGAACUUACGUAUAAAUGUCACUCUGGUCUUUUAUAGCUGGCUGCUUACAAGCACUUCACAGUGUCAAUAACAGAAACCACUGUUCCCAAAUGUUCCACUCGCAUUUGUAAAAGCAAAUUGGAGGCGAUUCAUCUCCACCCAACUCUGUAACACCACUAACAAUGGAUCGUCAUCAAAACUUCAGCACAGCUUUGCUUCUAACAAAAACAACAGAUUUGCUCCCUUGUCCUUCCAAACACAAACUGAAUUAAACCUCAGCAGAAAGCAGUGAGAAUGAACUGCAAACAAUCAAACCAACAAUACAACUAAUAGACAUCAUGCUGCUCGAGGACCGGUCAGCUGUAAGAGCUGCUGCUGCUGCAUUCGGAGGAGUCUGGCUUUCCAGUGACACCAAGACAAGUGACGCCACUCCAGACUAGUGCCAGUUUUAAAUAAUACAAUCCAGGUUGCAACUGGAGUGGCCCAGGGGUACUUGGCCAGAACCAACGUCUUCUGGUGACGGCAUUUCAUUGAGAAUGGAAAUGGCUCGAGAACAGCAUAAAGCACAAGAGAUCACAUCCCACCUCCACCUGGAAGUUUCCUUCUCUUCAUCUCAAAGCCGCUUACCAAGGAGAUAAACAUCAUUAUCCCUGUGCAUUGCACCACCUCUAUAAGGAUGAACAGUGGAAAAAUGCUAUAUUCUCUGUGCCUACUCUACAUGUAUUUUGCUGAACAAAUAAAUUAUGAGCAAG